GUUAAUAUGUGCAGACCUGCCACCAACAGACUGGUUCUUCUGCUGUCCUUUGCUUUCUAAGAGCUCCGUGGUGAAAAUCAAGAACCCUCAGAAGACCAGCUGAGACAGAGAGAACAAUGAGGGCUGUUCAAACCUUAUGUGACAAAGAGCAUCAAGCUUUAAUGGACAGGAAAUGGAAAUGAGACCUGCUGAGAGUUUAUGAACUCAGUUUGACAGAUUUUCUGCUGCUUUACAGGUGAAUCCAUUGACUCUUUGUUUUAAACGGAGUCUCUCAGUCAUGUAGUUAUGAGGCAGAGCAGAUAGUUUCCCACCAACCAAGGAUGAUCAGAUUCUGGAUGAUGUUGUUCUAUUCAUAGCUCCAGAAGAGGCUGCUCUGUGGACUGAAAGCCGUCUGGAUCUGACAGCUCUUAGUUUGGUCCUUUCAGAUCAGCCGGACACUUGGGACGAAGCAGAUUCACGGGAAGCUCUUAGUUCACCAAAGCUUUCACGGCUCUGAAGGCUCCUUUUGUUUUUCAUGUGGGGAUUUAUGAGGGAUUUUUUAGAGGAAAUUCUCAAAUAGUUUGUGAAUAUUUUGGAUCAGUUGACCCAUAAAAGUGAAGUGGAGGAGACUCUGCCUUGGAUCUGCAAAUCAAUCAAGGAAUCUCCUGAAAAUAUGUUCUUGACAAUGGAAAUCUUGAUUUAACUCUUGUGGACUUCAGAACAGUUCAUUAGAACCCAUCUGAGAGGAUCGUGGACAGCAUCACAAUCAGGUGUUUGAUAAAUUAAAGACCCCAGCCAGGCAUUGAGGAUGGGUCUCUGUACGAGCAGAUCCACCGUCACUCUGGACCCCAGCGCUCACACCCUGAGCCUGGACCCGACCAGCUCAGCAGAAGGCUUCAGCCCUGAAGGGACUCCUAUCCUGGACGAAGGCAUCCUGAUGGUGCAGCCCGUCAAAAAAGCUGAAGGCGGAGGAGGAGGAGCGAAGAGCCACGGGACAGUCGGCCAAACCGCCAAAGGUUACCUGGAGCUGGGAGGGAAGGCAGGCGACGGACAGGCGCCGACGUCACGGGAGGCUGAGGACGAAGACGAGGACGAGGAGGGCGACGAGGUGGAGGAGCUGAUCAACUUCUCUGACAGCGAAGGCAGCGUGAGGAGCGAGUUCCUGGAGUAGAGAAGAACCGAGACAGAAGAAAAGCCACUGAAAGAUUUAAACUGCAUUUUCUGUUUUGCAGCUGAUGGACUUGGUUUGAUAGGAACUUUUCUUUUCCCUACAUUUGCCUUUGGGUUGUUCCACCUCAAAACAUCACAAUUUACAACAGUUUCUAUUCGACUAUUUCUGAUUUGUACAUAUGGAUAUCUAUGAAUAGAUCAUAUAUGAUAUAAAUAUAUAUUAGUCAAAUUGUAGAUUGGUAUUUAAACACUUUCUGAUACGUGUUUUUUAAUCCACUUAACCCUGGAAGGAUGGAUGGAUGGAUGAUGGACAGACAGACAGACUACAGACAGACUAUAGAUAGAUAGAUAGAUAGAUAAAUAGAUAGACUAUAGAUAGAUAGAUAGAUAAACUACAGAUAGAUAGAUAGACUAUAGAUAGAUAGAUAGAUAGAUAGAUAGAUAGAUAGAUAGAUAGACUAUAGAUAGAGAGAUAAAUAGAUAGACUAUAGAUAGAUAGAUAGAUAGAUAGAUAGAUAGAUAGAUAGAUAGAUAGAUAGAUAGACUAUAGAUAGAUAGAUAGAUAGAUAGACUAUAGAUAGAUAUAUAGAUAGAUAGAUAGAUAUAUAGAUAGAUAGAUAGAUAGAUAGAUAGAUAGAUAGAUAGAUAGACUAUAGAUAGAGAGAUAAAUAGAUAGACUAUAGAUAGAUAGAUAGACUACAGAUAGACUAUAGAUAGAUAGAUAGAUAGAUAGAUAGACUAUAGAUAGAUAGAUAGAUAGAUAGAUAGACUAUAGAUAGAUAGAUAGAUAGAUAGAUAGACUAUAGAUAGAUAGAUAGAUAGAUAGAUAGAUAGACUAUAGAUAGAUAGAUAGAUAGAUAGAUAGAUAGAUAGAUAGACUAUAGAUAGAUAGAUAGAUAGAUAGAUAGAUAGAUAGAUAGAUAGAUAGAUAGAUAGAUAGAUAGAUAGAUGGUAUUUACAGUAAAUAGUACAUUUAUAAAGUAGAACUCCAGGGUGGGGUUUGAUCGGAGGCUGUCCUUCAUUGGACCAGUCCAGUUUGUUGUCGAGGUACAAACCCAGAUAUUUGUGGGUUUGGACCACUUCAGUGUUCUCCCCUCUGAUACUGACAUUAAAG
ensembl:lncRNA